rnacentral:tRNA from 1 species
GGGGUGGUGGCUCAGUGGUAGAGCACUCUCCUAGUGUGUGUGAGGCACUGAGUUCAAUCCUCAGCACCGCA